AGAAAGUUUGAUUCUGGCUUUUAGAAUUUACUUUUAUUUGGUUGUACAUGUAUAUUUUUGUGUGAUUAAGUUUAUCUAAAUGGGUUUUAAUUAUUAGUCGCAGUUCUUUAUUUUAUUUUUUAUAUAAUUAUAGAAAUAGCUAAUUUAUUUAGUUCUGACCAAUGUUGUGCCAGCAGUCGCGGUUAUACAAUUAGAGGCAAGUAAAUUUGAUUGGCUUAAUAUUUAAUUUAUUUUUAUUUAUUUAAUUUUAAAGUUUAGGGGUGAAAUUUAUGUUUUAAUUUGGAUAAUUUUGGAUGAUUAAAUAUGAAGGUUCAAGGUGAAACUGGGAUUAGAGACCCCAUUAUUAUGAAUUGUUAAUUUUAUAGCCUUAGUAUUAAUAGAUAAGAUCUUUAAAUUAAAAGAAUUUGGCGGUAAUUUAGUCUGAUCAGAGGAAUCUGCCCUGUGAUCGAUGAUCCACGAUAAAUUUUACUUUAUUUAGGCUUGUAUACCUCUGUCAUUGAGUGUCUUGUAAGGGUAAUUUUCAUGAAUCAUUAAUGUGGAUGAUGUCAGGUCAAGGUGCAGCAAUAAUAAAGAAGAGGUGGAUUACAUUAAAUUUAUUUAUGGAAGGCUUGUAUGAAAAUUAGUUUUGAAAUUGGAUUUGAUAGUAAAUUUUGUUAAAAUACAAAAUUGAAUUAGCUCUAGAUUAUGUACAUAUCGCCCGUCACUCUCGUUUUUUAAAAUGGGAUAAGUCGUAACAAAGUAGGCCUACUGGAAAGCAGGCCUGGUUAUAU
rnacentral:ncRNA from 1 species